rnacentral:lncRNA from 1 species
UUGCAACUUCCAUGUAUUGUAACUUGAUGAAUAAAACUUUGUGACUUUCUCUAGUGUGUUUUCCUUUAUCUGUGAUUGUGAACAUAAAUCGUUAAGUAUUUAUCGCAAUGAAUAAACAUGAUUAACUAAAAUAGCUUUGAAUUAACAUAAAAAUAAAACAUUCAUGCAUCAUUUGCAUCUUUCAAAACAUAAAAACAAAAAAAAACUCAUCCGUCCACCCUUUUCUAAUU